rnacentral:piRNA from 1 species
UGAGGAAUCAAGCAGUGAACGUGGCAUGCA